CCCGGGACCCCGCCGGUGCCCGGUGCCGCUGUCCGGCCCGGGAGUUUCCACAGCGGCUUUUCCCUGCCCCGCGGGGGAAGGUCCUGCCUGGGAUGGAAAUGGCUAAAAAUAGAGGAAACAACAAUGCCAAAACCAGACACUGCCACGUGAGCCAAAGCAGCCAAAGCCUCGGGGUGGCCAAGGAGCACACCAAAUUAAUUUAAACCAGAAAGGAAAUGACAAACCGGAGAAAGAGCCAAAGGAAGCGCUCUCCCUUGAUACACCCUGCAGUUGCUAACUCCAAAGAAGCUUCCCCAACGGAUCAAAACCAAAGGUUCU